rnacentral:rRNA from 1 species
UACGUAGGGGGCAAGCGUUGUCCGGAUUCAUUGGGCGUAAAGAGCGUGUAGGCGGCCAGGUAGGUCGGUUGUGAAAACUGGAGGCUCAACCUUCAGAGGUCGACCGAAACCAUCUGGCUAGAGUCCGGGAGAGGAGAGUGGAAUUCCCAGUGUAGCGGUGAAAUGCGUAGAUAUUGGGAGGAGCACCAGUGGCGAAGGCGGCUCACUGGACCGGAACUGACGCUGAGGCGCGAAAGCGUGGGGAGCAAACGGG